rnacentral:rRNA from 1 species
UACGGAGGGUGCGAGCGUUGUCCGGAAUCACUGGGCGUAAAGGGCGCGUAGGUGGCGCGGGAAGUCAACGGUGAAAGUUCGGGGCUCAACCCUGAAUCGGCCGUCGAUACUCCCGGGCUCGAGCACCGUAGAGGCAGAUGGAAUUCCGGGUGUAGCGGUGGAAUGCGUAGAGAUCCGGAAGAACACCAGUGGCGAAGGCGGCCCGCUGGGCAGUGGCUGACGCUGAGGCGCGACAGCGUGGGGAGCAAACAGG